rnacentral:rRNA from 1 species
UACGAAGGGUGCAAGCGUUGUCCGGAAUUAUUGGGCGUAAAGAGCUCGUAGGCGGCCUGUUACGUCUGCUGUGAAAUCCCGGGGCUUAACCCCGGGCGUGCAGUGGAUACGGGCAGGCUGGAGGCAGGCAGGGGAGAACGGAAUUCCCGGUGUAGCGGUGAAAUGCGCAGAUAUCGGGAGGAACACCGGUGGCGAAGGCGGUUCUCUGGGCCUGUACUGACGCUGAGGAGCGAAAGCGUGGGGAGCGAACAGG